rnacentral:tRNA from 1 species
CCCCAGAUAACUUAAAGUAAGUGUAGAUCUUUUAAAUCUACUAUAGUAUAUUCACGCCUACUUCUGGUGA